GGGCAGGCGACACCCGCCUGUAGCUGGAAGGUUCCCCCGGGUCUCCGGGGGCAACGAUCAGCUGCUGCACGCCCGGGGCGUGCAGUUCACAGAUCAAACGCGGGUGGCUUGCGCCCGCAGGUUGAGAUAUGACCGUAGCAGCUCCGCCAGGAGCCUGGCAUGCUAGUUCCGUAGGUGAACCUGCGGAAGGAUCAUUA
rnacentral:rRNA from 1 species